rnacentral:rRNA from 1 species
UACGUAGGGUGCGAGCGUUAAUCGGAAUUACUGGGCGUAAAGCGUGCGCAGGCGGUGAUGUAAGACAGGUGUGAAAUCCCCGGGCUUAACCUGGGAACUGCAUUUGUGACUGCAUCGCUGGAGUGCGGCAGAGGGGGAUGGAAUUCCGCGUGUAGCAGUGAAAUGCGUAGAUAUGCGGAGGAACACCGAUGGCGAAGGCAAUCCCCUGGGCCUGCACUGACGCUCAUGCACGAAAGCGUGGGGAGCAAACAGG